rnacentral:lncRNA from 1 species
GUCAAAAUAAUACCUGAAAACUUAAUCGAUUUUUGAUGAAUUAGAAAUGAAAUAUUUUUUCAAAAGCCUCCAAAAUAAGUUUUGAUCUUCUAAGAGGUUUUUAUGCAAAGGGAUCAUUCAGUUUUUACGAGGCAUUGACCUUUUGGUCUCGUAUUCCUGUUUGAUCUCAUGUUUCAUUAUGAUGUAAUGUUUUAUUUUCUCGUGUUGAUUAUGUGCAGGCA